rnacentral:rRNA from 1 species
GACGAACGCUAGCUACAGGCUUAACACAUGCAAGUCGAGGGGUAGCAGGGUAGCAAUACCGCUGACGACCGGCGCACGGGUGAGUAACACGUAUCCAACCUUCCCAUAACUCGGGGAUAGCCUUUCGAAAGAAAGAUUAAUACCCAAUAGUACUUUUUCGAGGCAUCUUGAGAAAGUUAAAGAUUUAUUGGUUAUGGAUGGGGAUGCGUUCCAUUAGAUAGUUGGUGAGGUAACGGCUCACCAAGUCUUCGAUGGAUAGGGGUUCUGAGAGGAAGGUCACCCACACUGGUACUGAGACACGGACCAAACUCCUACGGGAGGCAGCAGUGAGGAAUAUUGGUCAAUGGGCGAGAGCCUGAACCAGCCAAGUAGCGUGAAGGAUGAAGGUCUUAUGGAUUGUAAACUUCUUUUAUAGUAGAAUAAAGUGAUCCACGUGUGGAUUUUUGUAUGUAUACUAUGAAUAAGGAUCGGCUAACUCCGUGCCAGCAGCCGCUGUAAAAC